GCGAUGUUGUAAACACGAAGUGAGGUAGCCCAGGGAACGAAUCGCAAACCUGGUGUACUGAGCGCUUUCACUUCUGGGAUGGUCUUUCAGAGGAAGCACGUCACUGUGGCUCGAGGGAGGGUGGUUAAGGAAUGGAGCUAUGGGUGUGGUUGGUAGCCUGGAAAGUCCCGGAGGAUGGACACGGGGAUGCACAGCUGUGACCCAAACCCUUGGGAGACUGAAGAAGCCAGUCUGUCCCACACCGGGAGACUCUGUCCAAAACAAAACAGAAACAACAGUAACAAAACUGGAGAAUGCCAGCCGGGAAGACUGUUGAUUAGCGGUGUUUCUUGUCCUGCAAGAGCGUUUCUUGGCGUAGCCCUGGCAUUCUUGAUUCCUGGCCUUUGCCUCCUGACACUGAAGAAAUUUCUUAGCAGACAAAUGUCUCUGAUGGUG
rnacentral:lncRNA from 1 species